AUUGAACGCUAGCGGGAUGCUUUACACAUGCAAGUCGAACGAGUGGCGGACGGGUGAGUAAUAUAUCGGAACGUGCCCAGUAGCGGGGGAUAACUACUCGAAAGCGUGGCUAAUACCGCAUACACUGGGAGCGGCCGGAUUCGGAUUAGCUAGUGGGUGGGGUAAAGGCUCACCAAGGCAACGAUCCGUAGCGGGUUUGAGAGGACGACCAGCCACACUUGGACUGAGACACGUCCCAGACUCCGACGGGAGGCAGCAGUGGGGAAUUUUGGACAAUGGGGGAAACCCUGAUCCAGCCAUCCCGCGUGUAUGAGAAGGCCUUCGGGUUGUAAAGUACUUUUGGCAGAGAAGCGGUAUCUGCAGAAUAAGCACCGGCUAACUACGUGCCAGCAGCCGCGGUAAUUC
rnacentral:rRNA from 1 species